GGUUGCGGGCGGACGGUCGCUGUCCCCGACGUGAGUCGGGGAGGGAGGAAAGUCCGGACUCCGCAGGGCGGGAUGUCUCGGGGAUAACCCGGGAGGCCCUUUGCCAGAUCGAAGGGUACGGAUAGCGCCACAGAAAAUAUACCGUCCCACGCCGCGCGAGCGGUUGUGGGAUAAGGGUGAAAAGGUGGUGUAAGAGACCACCGCUCCGCCGGCAACGGCGGGGGCAGGGCAAGCCCCAUCCGGAGCAAGAUCAAAUAGGAAGCGAGCGGCGGCCCGCCGCGUUUCCGCGCAAGCGGAGUAAGCUUCGGGUUGAUCGCGUAGAUAAAUGACCGUCGAAACAGAAUCCGGCUUACGGCCCGCAGCCACGG
rnacentral:RNase_P_RNA from 1 species